rnacentral:rRNA from 1 species
GGCCAGCAGCCGCGGUAAUACGUAGGGUGCGAGCGUUAAUCGGAAUUACUGGGCGUAAAGCGUGCGCAGGCGGUUUUUUAAGACAGGCGUGAAAUCCCCGGGCUUAACCUGGGAACUGCGUUUGUGACUGGAAGGCUAGAGUAUGGCAGAGGGGGGUGGAAUUCCACGUGUAGCAGUGAAAUGCGUAGAGAUGUGGAGGAACACCGAUGGCGAAGGCAGCCCCCUGGGCCAAUACUGACGCUCAUGCACGAAAGCGUGGGGAGCAAACAGGAUUAGAUACCCUGGUAGUCCACGCCCUAAACGAUGUCAACUAGGUGUUGGGAGGGUAAAACCUUUUAGUACCGGAGCUAACGCGUGAAGUUGACCGCCUGGGGAGUACGGCCGCAAGGUUAAAACUUAAAGGAAUUGGCGGGGGA